AAUAUUGGACAAUGGGCGCAAGCCUGAUCCAGCAAUACCGCGUGUGUGAAGAAGGCCUUAGGGUUGUAAAGCACUUUCAAUKGGGAGGAAAACCUGCCGGUCAAUACCCGGUAGCUUGACAUUACCUUUAGAAGAAGCACCGGCUAACUCCGUGCCA
rnacentral:rRNA from 1 species